rnacentral:rRNA from 1 species
UACGUAGGUGGCAAGCGUUGUCCGGAUUUAUUGGGCGUAAAGAGCGUGUAGGCGGCCAGACAGGUCCGCUGUGAAAACUCGAGGCUCAACCUCGAGAUGUCGGUGGAAACCGUCUGGCUAGAGUCCGGAAGAGGAGAGUGGAAUUCCCGUGGUGAGCGGUGAAAUGCGCAGAUAUCAGGAGAACACCCGUGGCGAAGGCGGCGCU